rnacentral:rRNA from 1 species
AAACAUGCCUUGAGGUGGGGGACAACAGUUGGAAACGACUGCUAAUACCGCAUAAUGUCUACGGACCAAAGGGGGCUUCGGCUCUCGCCUUUAGAUUGGCCCAAGUGGGAUUAGCUAGUUGGUGAGGUAAUGGCUCACCAAGGCGACGAUCCCUAGCUGGUUUGAGAGGAUGAUCAGCCACACUGGGACUGAGACACGGCCCAGACUCCUACGGGAGGCAGCAGUGGGGAAUAUUGCACAAUGGGCGCAAGCCUGAUGCAGCCAUGCCGCGUGUGUGAAGAAGGCCUUCGGGUUGUAAAGCACUUUCAGUCAGGAGGAAAGGGUGGUGGUUAAUACCCAUCAUGUGUGACGUUACUGACAGAAGAAGCACCGG